GCAGAUAUUUUGCAGAUAUGUUGACAGAUAAUCAACAUAUCUGCAAAAUAUCUGCAACUUUUAUGCAGAUGUUUUGCAGAUAUGUUGACAGAUAAUCAACAUAUCUGAAAAAUAUCUGC